UGAACGCGAAGAACCUUACCAGGUCUUGACAUCCAGUGCAAACCUAAGAGAUUAGGUGUUCCCUUCGGGGACGCUGAGACAGGUGGUGCAUGGCUGUCGUCAGCUCGUGUCGUGAGAUGUUGGGUUAAGUCCCGCAACGAGCGCAACCCUUGUCAUUAGUUGCCAUCAUUAAGUUGGGCACUCUAAUGAGACUGCCGGUGACAAACCGGAGGAAGGUGGGGAUGACGUCAAGUCAUCAUGCCCCUUAUGACCUGGGCUACACACGUGCUACAAUGGACGGUACAACGAGAAGCGAACCUGCGAAGGCAAGCGGAUCUCUUAAAGCCGUUCUCAGUUCGGACUGUAGGCUGCAACUCGCCUACACGAAGCUGGAAUCGCUAGUAAUCGCGGAUCAGCACGCCGCGGUGAAUACGUUCCCGGGUCUUGUACACACCG
rnacentral:rRNA from 1 species